CCCCGACUGGAGAGAGGAGGGCAGUGACCUCAGGGGGCCACUCAGCUUCCUUAUUUCCCAGUCAUGACACCUCCCCUCAGGGAGUGACCAGGAGAAAAAGUCCCGCCUCCAAAGCUGGAGGAGCUAAGAGGCCAACGCGUGGACAGACAGCCGAAAAGGCACCGUGAAGAAGAACUUCCUCUGCUGGAAGUUGCUGCAGGAGCACUGAGGGGACCCGGCGCAGGGACACCUGGCGGGACGGUGGGCAGUGGCAGGCCCGCAGCUGGUGCUGGAGGUGGCCGGGCCGCCGGGUAGGCUGCAGCCGUGGGCACACGCUGGUCCAGCGCCCACACAAAGCAGUACGUUAGGAGGUGGCUGACGCUACCCAGGCCUCCAAAUUCCCUUGGCCACGUGGGCAGCACCAAGCUGCUUGACGGUGGUUGUAGAGACCCAGGAGCUGAUCCGUUUGAAGCAGCCAAGCCCUGCUCGGCACCCUGGUCCAGGCCAUCCGUGAGGCUCUGGCAGCAGCAGGUUCCCUUCCUCCCGAGCAGCUGAUGGUCCCCAAGCCCCAGGCUUUGGUCACCCAGCCCAAUCGUGGCUUCUCUUCUCAACCGUCCGCAUCCUGGAUGGUGCAGGGAACCCGCAUGCCCUUCCUACUACGUGACCUGGCCUCUGCCUCCCCAAAGCUUGGGAUGUUCACCUUUAAUGCAGGAGGACACGCCUCUGACUCGUGGUGCCUAGCUCGUGACGGGGAAGCCCAUGACAGCGUCCUGCCCGGGCCUCUGUGCCUCUGCACCUCUGCCUGGAUGGAGUCCCAGCUGUCAUUCAAGUCUCAGCUCACCUGGAGCCAUUUCUGCAGGGACCGUCCCCCUGCCCUGGCUGUCUCGUUCUUCCCUGCUUCCCUUGCCCUAGUGACCUGCACUUGAGGGGGUGGGGCCGGUGUGGGUGUCGGGUGUCCAGUCCCCACACGGGGCCAGGCCCUCUGCAUGCACUACCUCACUUGGUCCCUUCACUGACCCUAUGGGGUAGGUAGAGACUUUGAUCCUUCUCUUGCCGUAGAUGAGAACACUGAGGUUCAGGGAGCUUGGGUAAUUUGUCCAGAGUCACACAGCAAGUAAGUGGUUGAACUGACUUGAACUCAAGUCUUCCAGAUACCAAGGUACAUGUUUUGCUCUACUUUCAAAUAUAACCUACAUAUACGUUAAAAUGAGGUCCAUCUUCUCUCAGUUCCUGACCUGUGGACAGAGAAUCCAUGGUGCUGAGAAGAACUCCCUUCCCUAGAAUUAUCCACUUUUCCUUUUUAGCACAGCACCACAUGUAGGUAAUUCGACUGUUCUCCUCCAACACAUGACACACCUGAACACUCCAGAAACUGCUUCCUCCAGAGACGGAGAGCGGAGACUGUUUUCUCCUUACCAGAAAGCCUCAAAUAUUUCCACCUCGGGGUCAGCCGUGAGGCAUGUGGGAUCUUAGCUCCCUGAACAGGGAUCGAACCUGCACUCGUGGCACUGGAAUGCGAAGUCUUAACCACUGGACCGCCAGGGAAGUCCCCUAAAUGUCUUUAAAAAUGGAAUCAGUAGUGGGAUCUUAGUUCCCCGACCACGCAGUGGAAGCGCGGAGUCCUAACCAUUGGACCGCCAGGGAAUUCCCGACACUGCACCUUAUUUAAAAUGAGCGAACGGAGGCUCACGAAGGUUUUUGCUUUACGCAAGAAAGAGUCAAUCCCAAACAAUCCCAUGUCAGAGACGGAUAUCCAAGCUGGCAGGUCUGGGGAUGUGUAACGUGAAUACAGAAGGGCAAGGAGGAGGGACCACGAAGGCCUGGAAGGGACCCAGAGGCGGCCGGGGCCUGCCUUCUGCGUCUGCCGCCUGCACCCACUGCGGGUGGGGCCCCGUGCCAUCCAUUUCACUCUCAUGUUUACUACAGCAAGAAAAUGCUCCUCUACUCAGCCGACAAGACCCAGAACCUCGCCAACCUGCCAGGCUUUGGGAAGCCGUGUGCCGCUGGGUGGCCAAUCCCGCCUCGAGCACCUGAGUUAUAGGCCUCGAGGCUCCUCUGCCCCAGCUCCAGUCGACAGCAGCCCUGCCCCAGCCUUAGCCACCAGACCGAGUCCUGGUCCCUCUGCUGGGUCCUCUCCACCCUGCUGACACUGACACUUUCAUGUGAGUGUUUGCUGAUAUUCACAGCAUCUCUGGUCUGAUCUAUGCCGGGUCAUACACUCCUUCGUUCAUUCAGCAAACACUGGUGAUGCCUCUACUCUCUGCUCAGGCCUGGGCUGCACAGCAAGGAGAAGGCUGUGGGGCUGAGGGAGAAGCGAGCACAGGACACCGUAAGUCAGUUUCCGUUGCCUCCAACCAAAGGAAGAGGUACCCCUCAGGGUACAAGUACUAGGACAAAGCUGAGCGCUUCACGGGGCUGCUUAAGGGGGCUGGGGGGACAGGUCCCUCGGCCGUCAGGAUGCCAGUGCCUAUGUCCGUGCAUUGCUCCUUGUACAGGACCUGACCCAAGCUUAAUGCACGAUUAGCAACCUUCACCGCUACAUACUUACGAUCCUAAUAAUAACCUUCACAUCUAAACCUUCUGAAAGCACACAGAAAGGUGACACUGUGAGCUAAACAUAACUCAGAAAAUAUAUAAAGCAGAAACGGAUGAGAAACGCUCUCUUAAAGAACACGCCUGGAAGCACGGCUGUCAGAGGAGACGGUGCUUUAGCGUCCAUCCUGGGUGCCUUUCUUAGCAACCAGGCCCUGUUUUGCCCGAACCAGCAAACACGCAGCAAACAAGUUAGAUCUCCUGCCUCCCUUGCAGCUGGGCUUGGCCGUGUGAUGCUGUCCUGGAACCUGCGGUGUAGCUGCAACACGACGGGGAGCUCUGUACUGCCUCCUGCUGAGCCCGGGAGCUGGAGCCGGUACCCGUGGGCAUGAAAGCCAUGCAGUGAGAACAGCUGAGCAAAGCUACAGAGGGAGCCUUGGGCGUGGAUGGCACAGUGGUGUCCCGAAGCCGCCUCGGCCUUCUCAUGUCACGGGAGAAAAAUAAACCUUUGUUUGUUAA